rnacentral:rRNA from 1 species
CCUACGGGUGGCUGCAGUCGAGAAUCAUUCACAAUGGGGGAAACCCUGAUGGUGCGACGCCGCGUGGGGGAAUGAAGGUCUUCGGAUUGUAAACCCCUGUCAUGUGGGAGCAAAUUAAAAAGAUAGUACCACAAGAGGAAGAGACGGCUAACUCUGUGCCAGCAGCCGCGGUAAUACAGAGGUCUCAAGCGUUGUUCGGAAUCACUGGGCGUAAGGCGUGCGUAGGCUGUUUCGUAAGUCGUGUGUGAAAGGCGCGGGCUCAACCCGCGGACGGCACAUGAUACUGCGAGACUAGAGUAAUGGAGGGGGAACCGGAAUUCGCGGUGUAGCAGUGAAAUGCGUAGAUAUCGAGAGGAACACUCGUGGCGAAGGCGGGUUCCUGGACAUUAACUGACGCUGAGGCACGAAGGCCAGGGGAGCGAAAGGGAUUAGAUACCCCGGUAGUC